rnacentral:lncRNA from 1 species
CUUCUUCUUAUACACCCUAACACACAUUUUCAAGACCUAGACACAACCUAAAAAAAACCUAACACAUCUAAGGGAGCCGUUUCUCAUGAUCUGGAACCAAAAAAAACCCUAAGACCAUCAUCUUCCUCAACCUAACACACCUAGGCCCCUAACCUAGAGGAUCCCUGAGAAAUCAGCCGCAUACGCUCCUUCUUGAACCAGCGAAGAACAGAGCUCCAUCAGCCAUCUCCACCUUUCUUCUUCAACCUUCAGACACCCUAACGCCACUUCCCCUCCGGCCAAACCCAAACAGCCGAAACCCAACCCUUUCCUACAAAAUCUUUGGCAGUCGACCACCCUAGAACGACCAUCUCCACCAAACCAUCAGCCGUUGCCAAUUUCCAAACAUUCAAAAUAGCUGAAACAUAACAAAGAGGGGGGGAUAGAAGAUAGAUUUAGAAAGAAAACAAAAAAUACAGAGCGAGAAAAGGGUUUACAAAUAGAGAACAAAGAGAUGCGAGUUUCAAUCCAUCUCUGUUUUUUGUUAAACCACAAAAAACUUCAGCCUUCUUCAACCAUGAAAGCUGUAAAACCAGCUCUAAGAACGUGAAAACAGUAGCUCAAACCACUGCUCGUCGCCGUGAAAAUAGCGGCGUGUGUGUGCGAUUUUCUGAUUCUCGCCGGAAUUUUAGAUCGACUAUUUUUUAAACUUCCCGGCGAAUUUCGAGAUUGUCCGGGUGAGGUAGUCCAAGGUUUAAAAGCAGAAAAAUCGCUUGCGCCCUUCUUCAAUAACUUGGUAAUUGCUUUCUUAAUUGCUUUAACACCCAUCUUACCGGAGGACGGGGACAAAUAAGCCUCUGAAUUCGCCGGAGUUGGAAAGCGCGAGGGUUAUGAUCUUGAUAUAGCUGAAGUUUGGUAAGUUUUGUUUUGACUUAAUAUAAAGGUUUUCAUAUUUACUUGAUAUAGUUUCACUUAAUUUAAGUAAAGAUUUUCCUGAAUUCAGUAUUUUGGCCUUAGUCUUCGAAGCUAUAUGAUCUUGGAUACUAUAAUUAAGGAAAAUGAAUUAUGCUGGUAAUUAUGUUAAGAGUUGUUAUCUUCAGCAUCUUAAUAUUCAUUCAUUUGAUUAUGUAAUCUUGUUUGAAUUGAACUUCUGUGCAUAUAUUGAUUCCAGUGGUUUCGCAAAUGCUUGAGUCUCUUUUCUAGUGAUUGAAUUUAAAUGCAGUCUUUUACUUUUUGUCCCGCAUAUAUUCAUUGCAAUAGUAGUCUUGGAAAGAAAAUGUGUAGGCAAAGUUGUUUGUUUGAAUUAAUAAAAAUAAAGAAUAUCUUUUCAAUAUUAGUUCCGAUUGUAAAGUAGCCAGUUUAACACUGUUCGCUAAUGAUGUGGGAAUUAGAUUUGAGCAAUUUACAAAAAUGAAGACGUGAAUGGAAUUUGGUGCCGAUUGUUUUUUCAAUUAAAUCUUAUGGAUUUAGUGCUCUGUUAAGUUGACCCAUUUUUCUAUAUUUCAUAUCCCUAAUUCAUAACCUCACAAUAAAUCUCAAAUUAGUUUUAAGAAUAACCAUGAAUUUCGUAGUUUGCUUUAGGCGCGUUAUAAUAAAUCAUCAUAACUACGAGUACGGUUUCCGUGACGUAGUUGUGAUAUGUAAUUCUCAAAUCCGGGUGCACAUUUUAUGUGACCCGACCACAACUUCGAACCAUUAAUAAAUUAAAUAUGUUAUAUAUCAUGGGUACGGUUCCCGUGACACAAUUCACAAUGUGUACAAAACAUACAAGUGUACGACAAUCGUAACUUGUUCCAGAAUAAUUUCAUAAAUAAAUAAAUAAAAGCGGUUAAAAGGUUAAAAAUGCACAAUAGGUAUAAAAAAUGUAAUAAAUCAGAUAAAGAGACCAAUUAUUAAUAGUUGAGCAACCAUGCUAAAAUCACGGAACUCGGGAAUGCCUAACACCUUCUCCCGGGUUAACAAAAUUCCUUACCCGAAUUUCUAUAUUUUGCGGACCAUAAAUAGAGUCAAUCUUCCUCGAUUUGAGAUUUUAAACCGGUGAUUUGGGACACUAUAAAUUAUCCCAAGUGGCGACUCUGAUUUUGAAUAAAUAAUUCCGUUUCGGUUUUGUCACUUUAAUUGGAAAAACUCCCUUAUAUACCCCUUUCGGGUAGAAAAAGGAGGUGUGACAGCUCUGGCAACUCUGCUGGGGACAAGAACCCAGAAUCUCUGGUUCAGGGUUCAAGAAUUCGAGCUUAGAAUAAUUGUUAUAUUUGGCUUUUAUUUAUUAUCUGAUUUUUACUACAUGCUUGGGCCUAAUUAAUGGUGUCUAACAAGCCAGGUUUAACCGUAACUGGACCGGCCUAGACUGGUUAAAAUCAGAACCGGCCCGGACCGGUACAAGGGAGCCGGGUGGGGUUGGGUUAGAGGGGUAGGGGGUUUAAUCCGUUCACCUAUUUUUAACCGGUUACUCGGACCGGUCAAACCCGAUCAUCAGAAAUACUAUAGAACCAGUUAAACUGGCCUGGCCCAGACCAGACCAGCCCGACCCAGACCGGUUAACGACUAAUUUCUUUUUUUUAAAAUUGUUGAUUGGCUUAUUUGGUUACCAUUGGCAACAGUCACCUACCAAGGAGUCGUUGCCCAACGGCUGAUUUGCACAAUUAGCCCUUUUUUGGGAUUUAUUUUCAAAAAAUUAACACUUUUUGUAAUUACAAAUUUAACCCUUUUGUAAAACUAUAAAUACACCCCCUCUCUUCUUAUUUCUUCACUCACUCUCAUUUCUCAAUCUCAAUUUCUCAAUUCAAGUUAAAUCAUGCUCCGUACUUCUAGAGUGCGCUCAUAUGUUUGGGAACACUUUGAGGUGGUAGAAAAAAAUGAAGUUCACAAAGUAAAGUGCAAGAAUUGUGGUCGAGUCUUAAAUCUUCGUCCAAAGUGUGGCACAGGCUGUUUAGGGAGGCAUAUGAAGAGUUGUCUUGAGCGUCCUCUAAAAAUUCGUAUUUAAGUUGAUUUGAGACAAUUUGUGUUAUUUUAAAAUUAUUAUACGUAUUUAUGCUUAAUGUUUUAGUUUGUUAGAUUAAUUUGAAGUAUUGUUAUGCAUGAAAAUUUAGUUUUACUUUUUUUUCCGUUAAUUUACUUGUUAAAUGCAAACAUCCAUUUGUAAUUUUGAAAUAAAUGUAGCACUUGCAAUUUAUAAGUGCAAUUUUUCCCAUCUUCAUUUUAUUCUUUAUAUUAAUAUAACUUACAAUAGUUAUACAAAAUACAAAAAAUGUAACGACCCGACCGGUCGUUUUGAGCUUUAGCACUUCGCUCGCUAGUUCUCGGGCAUGACUAGCACCGUGCGGUGUAUUAUGACUUAUAUAAAUCGUCGAUUUUGGUUUUCAGGGUAAUCAGAAUGAAUUUGGAAGAACAGUUCUCAGUCUGAAGCUUAAAAUUUGAAAGGUUGACCAAGUUUUGACUUGUUAGUAUAUGAUCUCGGAUUGGAAUUUUUAUGAUUUUGUUAGCUCCGUUAGGUGAUUUAGGACUUAGGAGCAUGAUCGGAAUGUAUUUUGGAGGUCCGUGGAAGGUUAAGGGUUGAAUUGGCGAAAUGGGCUUUUUGGCAUUUUUCAGUUGAUAGGUGAGAUUUUAAUAUAGGGGUCGGAAUGGAAUUCCGGAAGUUGGAGUAGGUCCGUUGUGUUAUUUGUGACGCAUGGGCAAAAUUUCAGGUCAUUCGGACGAGGUUUGAUAGACCUUUUGAUCGAAUUCAGAAUUCAGAAGUUUUUGGAAUUCUUAUGCUUGAAUCCGAUGUGAUCUUAGUGUUUUGAUGUUGGUUUGAGCGUCCCGAAGGUUGGAUCAAGUUUGAAUGAUGAUAUGAGAUAUGUUGGCAUAUUUGGUUGAGGUCCCGAGAGCCUCGGGUGAGUUUCAGGUGGUUAAACGGAUCAAAUUCUUGUUUUGAAAGUUGCAGAUUUCUUCAGAUCAGUGUUGCAGAGUUUUGCUCUUCGUGUUCGCGAGAGGGCCCUCGCGUUCGCGAAGAGAUGUUGAGUGAGUCAGGCCAGUUACCCUUCGCGUUCGCGAUGUUGGUCCCGCAUUCGUGAAGGUUGAGUCUAAUUGUGCAUCGCGAACGCGUGGCAUGGUUCGCGUUCACGUAGAAGGGUGAAGCAGACUUGGGCACCUGGCCCUAAAGCAUCGCAUUUGCGACUGAAGAAACGUGUUCGUGUAGGCUGAGCUGAGUAAGGCAUCGCGUUCGCGAGGGUAGUGUUCGCGUUCGUGUAAGAGGAAAUUUGAGCUCUGAAUUAUUUUUUCUUCGCGAACGCGAGGCUUUUACAGCGUUCGCGAAGAAGGAAUUUUUGGCUUCAGCAGAAUGUUUAAAUAGCCAUGUUCGCGAUUUUUGGUCUAUCUUUCACCAUUUUUGAGCGAUUUUGGAGCUUUUUGAGUAGGAUUGAAGAGGGAAUCAAAGGGAAACACUUGGAGGUAAGAUUUUUGAACUCAAUACUCUAUCCUAUGUUGAUUCUUACUUGUUUAAACAUGAAAUUUGUGGAAAUUAAAGCCUAAAAUUAGGAAAGGGCUUGAAAUUGGAAAAGUAUAAAUUGGGGAUUUGAGGGGCCAUUUGAUGUUCGAUUUUGAUGUUCUUGGUAUGUAUGGACUCGUGAGAGGAUAUGGAUUUUAUUGAUUUAAUUUUUAUUGGAUUCCGAGACGUGGUCUCGUGGGUCGAGUUUGGCCAAUUUCAGGAUUUUUGCUAUAAAUUGGUUAUUUUCGAGUGGGCUUUAUUUCCUUAGCAUAUUUUGAUGGUAUGAAUCUGCUUUUGGCUAGAUUUGGAAAAUUCGGAGGCCGAGUUGAGAGGCAAAGGCAUCACGGGCUAGAGUUUGGACCAGAUCGAGGUAAGUAAUGAUUGUAAAUAUUUGUCCUGAGGGUAUGAAACCCCGAAUUUUCACAUCUUUGUGCUAUAUUGAGGUGACGCACACGCUAGAUGACAAGCGUGGGGGCGUGCACCGUUGGGGAUUGUGACUUAGUCCGUCCCGUAUGACUGUUUAACCGCAUAUUUGAUUGAAAACUGUUUGCUAUCAUCAUUUUUUGGGCUGAAUGCCAUAUUUGGGCCUCGUGCCAACUGUUUUGGACCCUUAGGGGAUUUUUACUACUAUUCCUCACUGUUUUGACUUCAUAUUUGCUCUCAGUCAUGCUGUAUUCUACUGUUUACAUAACUCAGCCAUAUUUACUCUGUUUUGACAUUUGAAAUAAUAUUUUGGGCUGAGCAUCAUGUUUUAUUAUGCCCAAGUGGCUUUGAGAGAUUUCUGACUAAGUGAGGUCGAGGGCCUAUGUUGUGAGGAUAUUAUGGGAUCGGGAUGCGCGCCACAUCAGUGUGGUACUGAUUUAAGAUUAUGAGGCCGAAGGCCUGAUUUGUUACGCCACGAGGUGGCUUGAUAUGAGGCUGAGAGCCUGUUUGAUUAUGCCAUGAGAUGGCUUGUUAUUGCGCUUGGGCCGUAAGGGGCCCUCCCAGAGUCUGUACACCCCUAGUGAGCGCGGGUACCCUGAGUGAGUGAUAUAUUGAUUAUGCCAUGAGAUGGCUUGUUAUUGCGCUUGAGUCCUACGGGGCCCCUCCUGGAGUCUGUACACCCCCAGUGAGCGCGGGUACAUAGUGUGAGAUGUGGUAUAGCCCGAGGGGCUGAUGUUGUUCUAUUUUAUUGCCUGAGGGGAGGUUCUUGAUUUAUGUUAUGCCCGAGGGGCUGAUUACGAGUGAUUGUGAGGUAGCCCGAGGGGCUGGUUCUGUUAAUAUUAUGCCCGAGGGGCGGUUUAUGGUACAUGUUUUGCCCGAGGGGCUGUUUACAUUUCUAUCAUGUUUACUCACUAUUUUUUCACUCGUUUGAAACUAUUGAAAAUUUGUUUUAAAAGGUUUUACCAAAACUGAGCAUGAUUUAUGAAGUAAAUGAUUUCUGUACUGUGUUGGAAAUAUCCUGCAUUUGUUGUAGCGUUUGACGUGGCUUACGUAUUUUCUUACUGCUCAACUUUCAUUUACCUUUAUUACUUAUUUAGUUGGAGUACUCACAUUACUCCCUGCACCUUGUGAGCAGAUUCAGGUAUUUCAGAACCCGGUAGCAGGUGUUGAUUGUUCAGUGGUAGAGUCAUCGGAGUUAGAAAGGUAGCUGCCCGACGUCCGCAUCACUGCUUUUCUCCCUCUUGUUUUCAUUAGACUGUAUUUAGUACAUUUUCAGAAUUUUUUGUUGUAUUCAGACCUUAGUUGAUGCUCGUGACUUGUGAGACCGCGAUGUUGGGCUUAUGUAUUUAUUCCGCACUAAUCAUUUAGACUUACAUUAUGAGAUAUCUGAUUAAUUAAAGGCUUAAAAAUGAUUAUUAUUAAUUAAAUAGUUAAUUCGGGAGUUGUGUCGGCUGGCCUAGUUUCACGAUAGGUGCCAUCACGACCGGGUUACUUUUAGGGUCAUGACAAGUUGGCAUCAAAGCCUAGGUUUUAUAGGUCUCACGAGUCAUGAGCAGGUUUAGUAGAGUCUCGCGGAUCGGUACGGAGACGUCUGUACUUAUCCUCGGGAGGCUGCAAAACCUUUAGGAAAAACUUCACAUUCUUGAAUUCUUAUCGUGCAUCCUUGAUUCAGCUUGAAAUGUAACUCUUUGAAUUCCUUCCAUGCGUUCGUACACGCGCAUGAGCGCUCGAUAUCAGUUGUGCAUCAACGGCUUGUGAUUUCCUGAUCGAGGGGUGAGAUAUGAUUUAUGUGUCUUGAUGUUGGGCCAGUAUGGAGGACUUGAGGCCGAGUUUUGCCUGUAGCUUGAGCACUGAGGCGUUGAUUAUGUGAGUACGUGCUUUUGGAUUCAUGUUUUCGGUAGUAUCCCUAUUAGUGGAAGUGAUGGCUGGAUGGCUAUGUGAUGAGUAUGAUGUGACUGCUAGAUGUGUUCAUACGAUUUGAAUGAGAUGAGAAUGGCGU